rnacentral:rRNA from 1 species
GUGGGGAAUAUUCCGCAAUGGACGAAAGUCUGACGGAGCAACGCCGCGUGAGUGAUGAAGGUUUUCGGACUGUAAAGCUCUGUUGUUUAGGACGAAAGUGCCUGUUGCGAACAGUUACAGGUAUUGACGGUACUAAACGAGGAAGCCACGGCUAACUACGUGCCAGCAGCCGCGGUAAUACGAAGGGGGCUAGCGUUGUUCGGAAUUAUUGGGCGUAAAGAGCAUGUAGGCGGGAAUCUAAGUCUGUUGUGAAAAUGCGGGGCUCAACCCCGUAUUGCGAUGGAAACUGGGUUUCUUGAGUGCAGGAGAGGAAAGGGGAAUUCCCUGUGUAGCGGUGAAAUGCGUAGAUAUUGGGAGGAACACCAGUGGCGAAGGCGCCUUUCUGGACUGUGUCUGACGCUGAGAUGCGAAAGCCAGGGUAGCGAACGGGAUUAGAAACCCGAGUAGUCC